rnacentral:rRNA from 1 species
UACGGGGGGGGCAAGCGUUGUUCGGAAUUACUGGGCGUAAAGGGCUCGUAGGCGGCCAUCUAAGUCGGACGUGAAAUCCCUCGGCUUAACCGGGGAACUGCGUCCGAUACUGGAGGGCUCGAGUGUGGGAGAGGGAUGCGGAAUUCCAGGUGUAGCGGUGAAAUGCGUAGAUAUCUGGAGGAACACCGGUGGCGAAGGCGGCAUCCUGGACCAUUACUGACGCUGAGGAGCGAAAGCCAGGGGAGCAAACGGGAUUAGAUACCCCGGUAGUCCUGGCCCUAAACGAUGAAUGCUUGGUGUGGCGGGUAUCGAUCCCUGCCGUGCCGAAGCUAACGCAUUAAGCAUUCCGCCUGGGGAGUACGGUCGCAAGGCUGAA